rnacentral:rRNA from 1 species
AUUGAACGCUGGCGGCAUGCUUUACACAUGCAAGUCGAACGGUAACAGGCCGCAAGGUGCUGACGAGUGGCGAACGGGUGAGUAAUGCAUCGGAACGUGCCCAGUCGUGGGGGAUAACUACUCGAAAGAGUAGCUAAUACCGCAUACGAUCUAUGGAUGAAAGCGGGGGACCGUAAGGCCUCGCGCGAUUGGAGCGGCCGAUGUCAGAUUAGGUAGUUGGUGGGGUAAAGGCUCACCAAGCCAACGAUCUGUAGCUGGUCUGAGAGGACGACCAGCCACACUGGGACUGGGACACGGCCCAGACUCCUACGGGAGGCAGCAGUGGGGAAUUUUGGACAAUGGGCACAAGCCUGAUCCAGCAAUGCCGCGUGCAGGAAGAAGGCCUUCGGGUUGUAAACUGCUUUUGUACGGAACGAAACGGCUCUGGUUAAUACCCGGGGCUAAUGACGGUACCGUAAGAAUAAGCACCGGCUAACUACGUG